rnacentral:rRNA from 1 species
ACGAACGCUGGCGGCGUGCUUAACACAUGCAAGUCGAACGGAAAGGCCCUGCUUGCAGGGUACUCGAGUGGCGAACGGGUGAGUAACACGUGGGUGAUCUGCCCUGCACUUCGGGAUAAGCCUGGGAAACUGGGUCUAAUACCGGAUAGGAGCCAUUUUUAGUGUGAUGGUUGGAAAGUUUUUUCGGUGUAGGAUGAGCUCGCGGCCUAUCAGCUUGUUGGUGGGGUAAUGGCCUACCAAGGCGGCGACGGGUAGCCGGCCUGAGAGGGUGGACGGCCACAUUGGGACUGAGAUACGGCCCAGACUCCUACGGGAGGCAGAGGUGGGGAAUAUUGCACAAUGGGCGCAAGCCUGAUGCAGCGACGCCGCGUGGGGGAUGACGGCCUUCGGGUUGUAAACUCCUUUCGCUAGGGACGAAGCUUUUUGUGACGGUACCUAGAUAAGAAGCACCGGCUAACUACGUG